rnacentral:piRNA from 1 species
UAGAAGGAGAAAGAAAAGAAAAAAAUUG